rnacentral:lncRNA from 1 species
ACGCCCUAGGUCAGUGAUAAUCCACUACUACUACGCCCUAGGUUCAGUGAUACUCCACUACUACUACGCCCUAGGUCAGUGAUACUCCACCUACUACGCCCUAGGUCAGUGAUACUCCCACUACUACUACCCCUAGGUCAGUGAUACUCCCACUACACACCUAGGUCAGUGAUACUCCACUACACUCCUAGGUCAGUGAUACUCCACCACUACUCCCUAGGUCAGUGAUACUCCACCACUACUCCCUAGGUCAGUGAUACUCCACACUACCCCUAGUCAGUGAUACUCCACUACAUACUAACCCUGGUCAGUGAUACUCCCACUACACCCUAGGUCCGUGAUACUCCACUACCACGCCUAGGUCCGUGAUACUCCACCACUACUCCCUAGGUCAUGAUACUCACCACUAACUACCCUAGGUCAGUGAUACUCCACCACUACCCCUAGUCAGUGAUACUCCCACUACUCCCUAGGUCAGUGAUACUCCACCACUACCCCUAGGUCCGUGAUACUCCACCACUACUCCUAGGUCAGUGAUACUCCCACCACUACCCUAGGUCAGUGAUACUCCCCCACUACUGCCCUAGUCAGUGAUA